GGAUAGAGAGCUGGCAGGCAGGGUGCUUGGUCGGAUGUCGGAUGUUUGCCUGCUAGCUCGAGUUGCUGGUCGGUUGUGGGUUAAUUUUCGAGAAGGCAUGCCUUUUGUGAUGUUUAGGCCGGGCAUCGCGGCCACGUUGCGUAGGAUCUCGAACCUAGACAAGCGCAACGUGGUUACCACCAUAUGGUGUCGUUCGCAUUGCGACGAAGACACCAGGUACCGGCCGAACAGGAAAUCCAAGCACCCGGACCCGACGAUUUGGAUCAAGACGCUGUCCCAGAACACCAACGUGCCAAUGAUUUGGAUCAUGACUCCGAUCCCAAAACACCGAGCAGCCGAGGAUUUGGAUCCUGACCCUGACCCAAAGCGAGAAGGAGCCGACGAUUUGGAUCAACACCCCGAUCCCAAGCACCAUGGAGCCGACGAUUUGGAUCAAGACCUACAUCCCAAGCACCAAGGUGCCUGGUUGAUAUGGUCGCGAUCCCGAUCCGGAGCUCCAGGGCGCCGAGGAUUUCGAUCACGAUCCCGAUCUGAAGCACCGAGUAGCCGAGGAUAUGGUUAAAGACCCCGGUCCGAAGCGACAAGGAGGCAAGGAUUUGGAUCACCACUCCGAUCAAAGGCACCAAGGCGUCGAGGGAUUGGAUCGAGAUCCCGAUCCCAAUCAUGAAGUUGGCUACGUAAUUUCCUGUUUUCCACACCGUUCAGGGCAUUUUGGUGGUCGUAUCGGCUUUUAGUUGCUUGCUUGGUGUUAGUGCCAAGGGAGUGGUUGGAAGCUAGGUCGUCCUCUGGAAUGCUUGUUGUAAAGGUGUAUGAGUUGUGUUUGACUUGUUACGGGUGUUUGUUGGCUGCUUGUGCAGGAACUUUCAUGCGUCCAAGCCUCUUCAGUUGUGCUACAAGGCCUUGUUUGUCUUGUGCAUACGGUGGGUUUCCUGUGUUGCAUACCUAAUCAAGGGCAUCGUAUGGCUUGAUCGAAGUAAAAAUUCGUAAUGCGCCGCCUGCGGCGUUGCACGAACCUCGAAGUGGUCUCUGUGGCCCAUGUUGUCUUUGCUCACGUAUGGAUGGCAUGGCCCUCGGAGCGUCGCUUGGUCUCUUGGAUACGGAACCUGGUGAUGUGGGCGGUAGGGUCUUGGAUGAUUCUACCUUCGUCUUCCAUGAGCGUUCUCGCUUCUCUAAACGACCGUCUGUCAUGCGCCGGCAUGUCCGUGCAUGGUGGGCUUAGUCGAAGAGGAAUGCUAC
rnacentral:misc_RNA from 1 species